AGGACCUCCCUGCCCUCUCCGCCAUUAACUCGGAGCCCGGCGCAGUGGAAAGCGGGCCAAGAAGCAGAGGUCCAGGUUCCAACUCUUGAUUCUAUCACAAAACACUGCACCCGAGGCAGCCAGGCAGCUUCCGAAGACCUCUUGGAUGCAGCAACAUCAGAGGGGUGAUUACCCCCAAUUGCCAAAGAGGUUUCCAGCGCUGGAAGGAAAUUUGGAGAUCAAGGCCGAGUUGGCCUCAGCCAAGUGAAAUGGGAAUCAGGACCAUUACAAAGAAAUUCAAUUAAAAUAAAAGACACAUCAUAAACUUUGACUGGAAAACUCCAAAUGGAAUUAAUAUUACGUUGGUCAAAUUACCUAGAUAAUUGCUUUCAUUUUUCAUUGCAUCUUGAUAGAAAGGACCAAGCUACUUAAAAAUGAGUCCCAAAAUGUAUCCAUUUCAUCUUCUCAAUGACUCCUAAAACCCUCUCCAAAUGACUCAGAUGCAUUAGCUAGCUAUUGCCACAUAACAUAUUACCCCAAAACCUAACAGCUCAAAACUACAACAAACAUCCUCCCCAGCUUUUGAUAUUUGCUGUCUUUUUCAUUUCAGGCGUGGGCCGGGUGAGGAUGUAGUGAUUUCAUGUUGCGGUUUUACUUUGCAUCUUCCUAAUGAUCAGUGCAACUGAACACUUCUUCCAUGAUGGUUGACAAUUUAGCAACCCUCUUCUGUGAAGUAUCCCCAUCUGUCCAUGGGGUUGUCUGUCUUAUCCUUCAUAAGCUCUAGUUCUCUGUAUUGGCUGAAUACAAGUCCUGUUGGGGAUAUACACAUAUAUUGCAACUAUCCUUCCCACUCUCUUGACAGUGUCUGUUGAUGAACAGAAUUUCUUGUUUUCAAUACAGUUCAAUUUAUCAAUUUCUCAGUUAGCACUUUUGAGCACUGUUUUAAGAAAUCUUUAGGCCGGGUGUGAUGGCUCACACCUGUAAUCCCACCACUUUGGGAGGCCAAGGCGGGCAGAGUUAGGUUAGUGCACUUCUGUUUAGGGAGUUAGGAGUUAGUGCAGGUUAGGAGUUUGAGACCAGCCUGGCCAACACGGUGAAACCCCGUCUCUUAAUAAAAAUACAAAAAAUUAGCUGGGUGUGGUGGCGGGCGCCUGUAAUCCCAGCCACUUGAGAGGCUGAGACCAGAGAAUCGCUUGAACCUGUGAGCAUGGAGGUUGCCGUAAGCCAAGACCAUGCCGUUACACUCCAGCCUGGUGACAGAAUGAGACUCCAUCCCAAAAAAAGAAAAGAAAAGAAAGAAAGAAGGAAAGGAAAGAAGGAAAGAAGGAAAGAAGGAAAGAAGGAAAGAAAGAAAGAAAGAAAGAAAGAAAGAAAGAAAGAAAGAAAGAAAGAAAGAAAGAAAGAAAAGAAAAGAAAAGAAAGAAAUCUUUAUUUGCUCCAAGGAUACAAAGACGUCCUCCUAUAUUUUCCUCUAAAAGCUUGAUUUGUUUUCACUUUUCACACUUAGCUCUGCAGUCCGUAUGGAAUGGGUUUUUUGGUGUGGCGGGAGGUGGAUCAAGACAAGCCUUUCCCAUACAAAUCUCCAGUUCACCCAGAAUUAUUUAUCAAAAAGACCAUUCCCCCCUUCCCCCAACGAGGUAGGCUUCCUGUCACUUUUCUUGUUGCUAGAAGUGGAUUUUGGAUUGCUGGAAGUGAUUACAACAAUCUGACAUCCCCUUAGUGAUUUACACAUGUAUAUACAUCUACAUUAGCACUUGUGCCAAAGAUUAGAAACAUUUAAAUGUCCACAUAUGGAGUCAGAUGAAAUUAUGAUUACAUUGAGAUAACAGACCACCAUGAAGCCAUUGAAAAGCCUGAGUAGAUCUGUGUGCGUAGAUAUGAACAGUCUUGGGUUGUAUUAGUUACAUUUAAAAAACAGAGUUGGGCCGGGCGUGGUGGCUCACACCUGUAAUCCCAACACUUUGGGAGGCCGAGGCGGGCAGAUCACUUGAGGUCAGGAGUUCAAGACCAGCCUGGCCAACAUGGUGAAACCUCGUCUCUACUAAAAAUACCAAAAUUAGCCAGGCAUGGUGGUGGGCACCUGUAAUCCCAGCUACUCAGGGGCUGAGGCAGGAGAAUCGCUUGAACCUGGGAGGCCGAGGUUGCAGUGAGCCAAGAUUUCGCCACUGAACUCUAGCCUGGGCAACAAUCGCGAGACUUCAUCUCAAAAAAAAAUAGUAAUAAAGUAAAAAUAGGCCUGGCGCGGUGGCUCACGCCUGUAAUCCCAGCACUUUGGGAGGCCGAUGCAGGUUGGAUCACCUGAGGUCAGGAGUUUGAAACCAGCCUGACCAACAUGGUUAAACCCCGUCUCUACUAAAUACAAAAAAAAAUUAGCUGGGCAUAGUGGUAGGUGCCUGUAAUCCCAGCUACUCAAGAGGCUGAGGUAGGAGAAUGGCUUGAACCCAAGAGGCAGAGGUUGCAGUCAGCCGAGAUUACGCCAUUGCACUCCAGCCUGGGCAAUAAGAGUGAAACUCCAUCUCAAAAAAACAAAAAAUAAAUAAAUAAAUAAAUAAAUAAAAUAAAAAAUAGAGCUAAGUUCUCAUGUAGUAAAAGGGAAAGAAAAUGAGGAGCAGAAAAGCCUGAAUAAAAUGCAACAUUUGUGAAAAAACGUGGGUGUUGUAUACAUAUUCAUGACUGUUAUAUAAAAUAUCUCCACAGGCACCCACAGGAAAUGAUAGUGACAGUUGCCCUGGAAAGAAAUUUAGAGACAGGCACAGGAGGGAAACUGUCCUCCAGACGUAUUUUUAUAUGGUUUCAAUUCUUUUUUCCCAUGUGCAUGUAUUUCAGAUUUUUAUGUACUAACGUACACAUUUAUGUAUGUAAUGUACAUAUUAUAUAUUAAUGUACAUAUACAUUUAAUGUAUUAUACCUUAAAAUACCUUUUCAUUAAAGAUAAAGUCAGACAAACUUUUUUUAAAAAGUUAAUAUAUGCCCAUUAUUAAAAAAAAAAGUUGGACAAAAUAGAAAAGUGCAAAGAAGAAAAUAAAAUUAGCCCAGAUCCCAAUCCCCGCAAGUGACCACUAGCAACCUUUCAGUGUCUUUUCUCCCAGGCUCUUCUACAUCACUGAAAUCAUGGUGUAGGAAUACUCUUUUAUCCCACAACUUUCACAAAACUGUACCAGAUUUUCUGUGUCAUUAACUUCCUGCCCCAGCAUGCUCUGUGAUGCCGGCUGUUUCAAGUCCUUGCUAUAAGUGAUAAUGCUCUUAUCAGAGGUGUGUGAACCAGAGCAACUCCAUCUUGAAUAGGCGCUGGGUAAAAUGAGGCUGAAACCUACUGGGCUGCAUUCCCAGAUGGUUAAGGCAUUCUAAGACACAGGAUGAGAUAGGAGGUUGGCACAAAAUACAGGUCAUAAAGACCUUGCUGAUAAAACAGUUUGCAGUAAAGGAGCCGGCCAAAGCCCACCAAAACCAAAAUGGCCAUGAAAGUGACCUCUGGUUGUCCUCACUGCUACACUCCCACCAGCACCAUGACAGUUUACAGAUGCCAUGGCAACGUCAGGAAGGGGAGGCAUGAAUAAUCCCCCCUUUGUUUCGCAUAUCAUCAAGAAAUAGCCAUAAAAAUGGGCAGCCAGCAGCCCUCAGAGCUGCUCUGUCCAUGGAGUAGCCAUGCUUUUAUUCCUUC
rnacentral:lncRNA from 10 species